rnacentral:rRNA from 1 species
CGGACGGGUGAGUAAUGUCUGGGAAACUGCCCGAUGGAGGGGGAUAACUACUGGAAACGGUAGCUAAUACCGCAUAACGUCGCAAGACCAAAGAGGGGGACCUUCGGGCCUCUUGCCAUCGGAUGUGCCCAGAUGGGAUUAGCUAGUAGGUGGGGUAAUGGCUCACCUAGCGACGAUCCCUAGCUGGUCUGAGAGGAUGACCAGCCACACUGGAACUGAGACACGGUCCAG